rnacentral:rRNA from 1 species
AUUGAACGCUGGCGGCAGGCCUAACACAUGCAAGUCGAACGAGUGGCGGACGGGUGAGUAAUGUCUGGGAAACUGCCUGAUGGAGGGGGAUAACUACUGGAAACGGUAGCUAAUACCGCAUACCAUCAGAUGUGCCCAGAUGGGAUUAGCUAGGUGGUGGGGUAACGGCUCACCAAGGCGACGAUCCCUAGCUGGGCUGAGAGGAUGCCCAGCCACCCAGAAACUAAGAACUGGUCCAGACUCCUACGGGAGGCAGCAGUGGGGAAUAUUGCACAAUGGGCGCAAGCCUGAUGAAGCCAUGCCGCGUGUAUGAAGAAGGCCUUCGGGUUGUAAAGUACUUUCAGCGGGGAGGCGUUACCCGCAGAAGAAGCACCGGCUAACUCCGUGCCAGCAGCCGCAGUAAUUC